UACGUAGGGUGCGAGCGUUGUCCGGAAUUAUUGGGCGUAAAGAGCUCGUAGGCGGUUUGUCACGUCUGCUGUGAAAUCCCGAGGCUCAACCUCGGGCCUGCAGUGGGUACGGGCAGACUGGAGUGCGGUAGGGGAGAAUGGAAUUCCUGGUGUAGCGGUGGAAUGCGCAGAUAUCAGGAGGAACACCGAUGGCGAAGGCAGUUCUCUGGGCCAUAACUGACGCUGAGAAGCGAAAGCAUGGGGAGCGAACAGG
rnacentral:rRNA from 1 species